UACAGAGGGUGCGAGCGUUACUCGGAAUUACUGGGCGUAAAGCGUGCGUAGGUGGUUCGUUAAGUCUGAUGUGAAAGCCCUGGGCUCAACCUGGGAAUGGCAUUGGAUACUGGGCGGGCUAGAGUGCGGUAGAGGGCAGUGGAAUUCCCGGUGUAGCAGUGAAAUGCGUAGAGAUCGGGAGGAACAUCUGUGGCGAAGGCGACUGCCUGGACCAGCACUGACACUGAGGCACGAAAGCGUGGGGAGCAAACAGGG
rnacentral:rRNA from 1 species